CCCACUUAAGCUUAGUUUGGUAUUUAGAAAAAUAAAAUAGAAUUAGAGUUAAAACAUGUAGAAAUAUAUUUCUACGUUUUUCGGUAAAAUUGUAGAAAAUAUAUCAUAACCAACUCAUUGCAUUAUUACGUACAAAAACAAUCAUUGCAUUAUUACGUACAAAAAUAAAAUAUUUUCUCAUUGUACUUUCUCAUCACACACACGUAACUUGUACUUUCUCAUCACACACACGUAACGCAAUCUCCUGUAAGGUGCACCAAAGUCUUGGCAUUAAUCUUCUGUGACCGCAGCUUUCUCUAACACGUGCGUCCCCAAACAGUUCAAAAACCAGGAAAAGUGCAUGUACAAUAGUUGAUAAAAUUAACUUUUAAAAUAAUCAUUUUUUCCUUCAAUUUUGAAAUAAAAUACAAGCACUCAAAAGUAAUUUCCAUUCGUGCACUACUGCCCACUAAUUAUGGAAAUUUAUCCGAAUAUUUUUUCACAAUCAACACAAUUGAAAGCUUUUGAAAAAUGUGAAAGCUACAAGUGCCGGUUGUCAUCAGCACCUUCAUCGAAUACUCCUGAUGAUCCCACCCGGAAAUCGAGUUGCUUCUGAUGCUUCAGUCGACGGCGCUCAUCGAAAUCCUCCCAUCCUUCAAUCUAUUGAAGAGGAUACAGAAAUAUUAGCACACGACACAUAAAUGAGACACUAAUUUUUGCCAUUUAAUCCUAAUAUAGAGCCAAAUGUGUGCAAACAGAAUCAAGUUUGAUCAGUAUUCCAGAAAACAUAACAAACCAUGUAGGUCAUAAAGGAUGUGGAAAAGAUCAGAUGGCCUAAAUUGCCGACGAAAUCUCAUCAAGUUAACAAAUGGUUUUAACAUCUCAGGUGUUAUUCUAGAUCUGCAUAGGCUCAUAAUUGGUUCACCGUAGUCUUCUAUUGGUGAUUGCUUUUAAGGUUUUAACAAUAUUUUGGCCAGGACAAAGGUUAGGUGCAGCACCUAUAAUACAUAUGUCAUGUGGUAUUAAGAAUGAGAAAUCAGGACGUAGAUGAUGUUUCUGAUAUUAAGAAUGAGAAAUCAGAAUGUAGAUGAUGCCAUAGUCAAAUAAGACCUGGGUUGUGCUAAAAUAGAACACUGGAUUGGUAUCAAUAAACUUUCCAUACCUGCCGAAGAAUGUCAUUUGUGAUUUCUGUGCCAUGGAGAUCAAGAGUAGAGAGCUGAGAACACAUCUUGAAUAAUGUUGAAGGUAGAGAUUUAAUACCGUUGUUCCUCAGAUGCAAAGCCUGUUUCAAAAGCACAGUAUAGGUUUAAAAAAUGGAUAGCAAAAGUUUAAAUUAUAGCCGCUAUGCAAAACUAGAGAAAUCAGUACAGAUUAUAGCCAAGUAAAAGCAGCAAAACCAGAUAUUAUUAAGACAAUUAACAAUAUUAAGAAAGACAUACAUCACAGGCAAAGAGGUGCACAAUAUUAUGCAAAAACUAAAUCAAGUACAAUUAAGCAAUCACUCUACCGUUUCCAAUGGGUAACGUGUUAGGGAGAGUUUGAAUAGCAUAGGCAAAGCCUCAAGGCGCGAGGCAUAGACAUCAGAGGAAAGUCUUAACUAUAAGAAACACUGAUAAUCAUACAGGUGUUUUAUAGAGCUUGUUAACUAAUUAUCAUCUCACGUUAAUGUAGUGCAAAUAAUUACUAAUUAAAUAGCGGUGUACAAUAAAUUUUUUCCCUUUAGUAUAGUUUACAAGCAAAAAAUAAUGUAAGAAUAAAUCUUUCUGUUUCAACCCUUGUGAUUUGCUUGAAGACAUUUUUCUGUCUCUCAUUCACACUGCAAUGCCAACAUUAAUGACCUUCACAUGGUGCAUAUUCACAACCAUACAUAAUCUCACACACAGCACUCCAAGGUGCUUUGAAAGAGCCUCAUCUAAAGAAAUGAGAAGCAAAAAAAAAAAUUUCAUAAAAUUUUUCUCAAACGACUAUUUGUUUAUAAAAAUUUCCAUCAUUCAAAACUCUCAUGAAUGCUUUCACACAGACGGCAAAAAGUAAAACCUUCAAAUUGCAGAUAUCUCCAAGUGUUUCUGGUAGCUCAGCCAGAAGAUUGCAUGAUAAAUCAAUCUGCUUAAUUCAACAGCAAAUGUAGCAAAAUCAGUUUAUAUUGAAUGAAGCUUGCAUAAUCUUGCUUGACUCAAGCAUCACUUGAUAUUGCACUUUCCAAGGAUAAAAGACGCCGACCUCAAUAAGAGAACAACAAUUGCCUACAGAAGAAGGCAACGAGGUUAUCCUGCCAUCAGAAGAAAAAGCGUGUCCAAUAAAAAUUGGCAUCAAAGCACAAAAUUGUUUUACUGCAAAAAUCCAUUUGAUAGAAUAACAGAGCUAAAGUAGUACAAGCAGCAACCUUUUACCAUCACUAGGUUACGAAAUUCUCAUAUUUCUACAUUUCUUUGUAAACCUUUUGCACUCUGCACAUCCAAUCCUAGUCAAACUCACGCAACGAUGACAAACUUUAAGGACCUAUCUGACACUUUAAUCUAAAUUUUAAAAAAGAAGCUAUGAACAAACAUUUCUUCAGAUAUCAUCUCACAAAUCAAAGUUAUAGGACUUGAAUAAAAUUAGUUUAAUUAUACCCAACGAACUGUGUUAUAAACUAUCAAAAAGACAACACACAAAUCAAGAGCAGCCACAGAACUUGGCUUGCUAUCACCGUCAACCAUCAGUUUCGGAUCUUAAAAAGAUGGGUAACAAUCUCAACAUAUCUGCAGGUUCUUAUCUUUUUCUUUUUUGACUCCGCUGUUGCCCUAUUCCAGAAAUUUCUGGAAAUAUUCCAGAAUUAGAGCAUUAUGCCUCCCAUUAAGGCUACAACACUCCCAGUGAUCUCCUCUUUCCUUAGUUUGAUUCUAUAGCCUAUCCUGAUUACGCAUUUUUCUUGUUACAUUAAAAAACUCAAUUCUGACUGCAAUAAUAUUUGCAACUAUGGCAUUUCCAUCUUUUUUCCUUCUUUUUUGGGGAAAAAAUGGUUAUUAAUAUGACUAGAGAGAUAUAAAAAAUCAUCAAACUGUAUAUUCAGGAAUGCAAGUAUAACCAACAAAAACACAGAAAUGUACAAUUAUCAGAAUGCAUCACCUAUUAUUGCUUGCUAUUAGAAUUUCAAGCUGUGACAGAGACCCUAUUUCAGCUGGUAAGCUUUUCAGUUUAUUAUUAGCAAUAUGCAGUUGAUGAAGAGAUGUCAGUGAACCCAACGUGGAGGGCAGAGUAGUUAAUCUGCAAAAGGGCAUAAUAGUUAUUGCACUACAAACUUAUAGCAAUAUAUAGUUUUCCAAAAUUUGUAGAAAGACAUGGCUGGGCUAGUAAAUACAGAAUGUAUAGAAAUCCAUGAGAAAAUAAUACAACAAUUUGCAAAAUGCGAACAGAAGAACAUGGAAGUACUUUUGCUAGGUCCAUGGCUUUAGUAAUCAGGGGCUACAUGAUCUCUUUCUUUAGUAAUUGGGAAACAUAAAUAGUAAUAUCUUCCCCUCAAGCAGGCGAGGGAAAAUAAUUAUAAUAGAACAAAGGAAAGUUGAUAUCCAGUUCAAACACAAGUAUACUAAUAAAGCUCAUAUAAAACUAUGACAAAGAGAUAGUGGGGAACAUUAACCACAAACUCCAAAUGGAAUCAUACUCACUGGUUUUGAUUGAGAGAAAGAAGAGUUAAAACCUUAAGUGAUGAUAGACCUUCCCAACUUAUGUUCUCAUCCAACAAACCAUUGGCAUUGAUAAUUAAUUUCUAGAAGGAAAAUAGAUCAACAUUAGAACAUCUGCUAGAAAUUUGCUCCGUGCUUAGUAAAUAUAGCAUAAACAAGAUCUAGUAACUAAUAAGGGCUAGAUAGCCUUAAAAAAAGAUUUGACCACAUACUAACAUAAGAAUUAUUACAUUUAAAGAUUUUAGAGCACUGAUCUUAAUAGGAAUAUCUUGAAUAGAGUUGGUGCUGAUGUCCAAUACUCGUAUUGAGGAACCACAAGCCCAGACUUCUUCAGGUACUGCCUAUCAGUAGAAAAGCAAAUAUCUAAGAUCUCAAAGUUCCUCGUAAGAGAACACGCAAUAAUAAAAAACAGAGAAGAUAAUUGUAAUCCUUAUAAAUGAGAAUACUCCAUUAAAAUUGAGUCUUGAGAGGAUCUUGCAGAUAUCAAAGGAGCACAAAUAUGCAUGUAGAAAUCAGCUCACAUAUGGAAGUUUCAGCAUAUAUGAUUCUAAUGGACCACAUAAAGGCCCAUAGUAGAAAUUAAACAAUAGAAGAGAAUAAAACUACACAAUGAUAAACAUCAAUUUAUAUGAAAGAAAGCUAGACAUCAAAAGGGGAACCUAAUAGUUUGUUCACACACAAGCAUAGAACGAAAUAGCCCUGAUUCAAAAAAGCAUCGGAAAGCAAACAGUUUUCAGCUAAGCACAUCUGCUAUUUGCAUUGAAAUUGGGUGCUCGCAGCUGCUGUCGGGCAUAACUCUCAAGUUCCUUAUUUGGAUGUCAUGGAACUUGCGGGAUCCAGCCAAAGUGGGCCUUACUUCAAGCAAACUCCAAAUGAGCAUGGAGAAAGUGACUUCAUGUUUCUCCACUUUAUUAACUCCAAACGCCCACUAAGUCAGCAUACUCCAAUAUAUACGGAAUGAAGACUUAUUUACCAACGAAAGUUUUGAACUGAGCUCAUGCACUAAGUAGACACUGUUGCUACAUAUUGCAUAAACAGUGCAGAUUUUUUUUUACCAAGGAAUCAUAGUGAAAGCAAACAAUAGAAAAUAAAAGGAAAACUGUCAAUGAGUUUACAUUAUACCUUCAGAUAGCACUCUGACAAGGCUACAACACCAGUUGAUCUCCAACGUUCAGACCGACUUUUAACGAUUACAGUCUGAGCUUUAUGGAUUUGGCUAUUUUUGGCAUCCAACUCCGCCCUAGUGUUGGUUGAUGGUGAAGUGACGGCAUCUUUGGUAACAGGACCAUCCUGUUCAAACAUUAGUGCAUUUAUCGAACUUGCAAACUAAAGAAGCUUAAAAAAUUAUGUUAUGCAUGGCCCAGCUCAAAAUAUAAGAUACAACAAGAAAAAUGAAUAAGUUUAGCAUGAAUAUAAGGCUCGAUAACUUUGAUUUCGCUCUGGCCCAAUUUCUUACAGUAAAUCACAGAAGAUUGCUGAAUUCAAAGCAUAAUUAAAAUAGAUGCAUAGUUAACUAUCAAAAAGACUAAUUUUCCAAUAUUUCACACCUCAAAACAUUAAAUACUACGGAAAAAUGAAUCAGAUUAAUCUUUAUCGGAUUCAGUCCACCGUGAUUUAGCUAACACACUUCGAUUUCCCCGAAUAAACCACAAAAUUGAAUGCGGAAGCAAUACAAAUAGGAAAUUUACCCCUUGAUGCAGGCCUUGAGAAGCGAUUAGCAUCAAUUUGGAUCCAUUCGUGAGUUGCUGCACCCUUAGACUUGAAUCGUCGGCGAGAACUUUUCCUGCGGUGGAGAUUAGGGUUUAUCCCAUCACCGAUCGUCCGUUCACCGCCGUCGGGAAGAUAUCAAGGAUGAGCGAUCUAGGGUUUGUGGCACGCACCUUUGAAGAUGAGCUUCUGGCCGCGGGGGAGGACGUUGGUGAGGGGCUGGAUUAGGGUUUUGAGGUCUCGGACGGUGGAGUCGGGGGAGACGGAGAGCGGAAGCGUGCGACCGGAGAAUUUGAGGUGGACGGUGAUGGUGGCGGGAUCCGGAGACGAUGCGUCGUCUCCUCCUUUCUCCAUCUCCAUGUCCAUCACUCUCGGUCUCCUCGAGCUCGUGUCGUGUCCGUGACACGUUCAAUAUUAUUACAAAACUGCCACAAAAUAAGUGUGGCAACUUAUAUAAAUUUCAUAAUUUUAUUAUUAUUAAAAAUUUAUUUAUUCGCCACCCUACACCUACAGGCUGCGUUUGGUUGGAGAACUAAAUUUUGGAGAACAACUUUUGUUGUUCCCGAGAACAGGGGAUAUUCCGGUACAAGAUAGAACAAUUGUAAAUUUGUGUUUGGAUGCAUUCGAGGAUAUUCUAGAGGAUAUCCUUAAUAGCGUUUGGAUAAAAAGUCUAGAACAACGUCUAAAUAUAUUUUUAAAAAUAAAAUAAUUAAUUUAUAUUAGUAUAUUUUAUAUAAAAUUAUUUAUAAAAUUAUUUCAUAUAGUAAUUUAUAAUAUAAUAUUUUAUGUAAGAAUCUAAUUUAAAAUAAUAUAUUUUAUUUUAUUAUAUAUAAUAAUUUAUUUUAUGUAAUAAUUUAUUUUCUAUAAUUUAUUCAUAAUAUAUUAAUGAAUAAAGUAUACAUACUAACAAUAUCCCUAUAUUUUUAAUUAAUAAUUAGUAUAAAUUUUAAUACAAAUAAAAAAAUAUAUAUAUAAUUAAAUAUAAAGUAUAAUGAUGAGAUGUUUAAUAAAAUAAAAAAUUAUCAAUUUAAUUAAUUUAUAUUAUUAAUAAAUUUAAGUAUAAAUAUAUUAUCAUAAAAUUUAAGUAUAAAUUUCAAUACAAUAAUAUAUAUAUAGUAAUAUAGUAUUAUAUAUAUACUAUAUAUAUAUAUAUAUAUAUAUAAUAUGAUAAAAUGAUUUUUAUGUAUAUAUACAUCUAAUAUAAAAUAAAAUAAUUAAAUAUUAAUAUAUAAAUGAUAAACUUAAUAAAAUAAAAUACAUAUCAAAUUUAAUUAAUUUAUAUUAUAAUAUAAAAUUUAAGUAUAAAUAUAUUAUCAUAAAUUUAAGUAUAAAUUUCAAUACAAGUUAAAAUAUAUAUAUAAUAUAUGAAAAAUAAUUUUGUAUAUAAUAAUUAAUAUAAAAUAAAAUAAUUAAAUAUUAAUAAUAAAUAUAAAACUUAAUAAAAUAAAAUAUAUAUCAAAUUUAAUUAAUUAUUAUUAUAUAAUAAAAUUAAGUAUAAAUAUAUUAUCAUUAAAAUAAUAUUAUAUAAUAUAUAUUAUUUAUUAAAUUGUGCAUUCAUUUAAUUUAUUUGAAAUUAAUUAAUAAAGUAUAAAAAAUUAAAAGGCGAGAAACAAAAAAAAAAAGAAAAAAAAAAAGCCCAAACUCUUGUUCCGGCUUGUUCUCCCUUUUAGGGAGAACAAGUUUACCGGGUUGUUCCCGGCUUAACGGGUUGUUCCGGGAACAACCCGGUUGUUCCAAAAUGCUUUAUGUUUGGAGGGAUAUCCCGCCUUGUUCUGGGAUAUCCCUCCAACCAAACGCAGCCACAGUGUAUAAUUGGACGAGAAUAUAAUAUUUUUCUUCAAUAUUUUUAUUUUUUUCUGUAUAUGAAAAAAUUUAUAUUGCAAACAUAUUUUGAGCCUGUAAAAUUAUAAAAGUAGAAAUCAUAACUUUUUACUAAUUCUUAAUUUAAUUUAACAAGAUUAAAAGAAUUUUAAAAUAAAAAAAAUAAUAAUCUUUUUAACCAUAGUUGAACAUUUUAACACGCAAAACUUAACUAGACUAUGAAUCUUUUUAAAUUGCCUACCCAAUCUUUCAAAAUUUAAUUUUAUUAUUCAACCUUUCAAUUUAUUUGAUUUAAGUCAGUCAAUAAUACUUUGAUUUUAAAAUUUUAAUGUAUUGUUUAUUCUUAUAGAUUUAGUUAGUAAACUUUAUAUAAUUCUCUUAACUAAAAAAAUAAUUAAAAUAAGUAAUUGGUUUAAAUUUUAAAUCAAAUAUUAUUGGCUUAUUCAAAUCAAACAAAUUGAAAAUAUUAGAUAGCAAAUUUAAAAAUUUAAAAGGUUGUAUAACAAAAUUCAAAUGAUCAAUAAUAAUAAUUCACAUAAAUUAUGUACUUUUUAACAACAUUUUAAUCCGGGUCAAAGGGGUACACAACGGAUUUCAACAAAUGGGUUGGGCCUUCCUUAACGGCCCACUCUGAAACUUAUGGGCCUCCAUUAGGGCUCCACUCCUGAUGGUCUAGGGGCACGUGGCACCGCCGAGAAACAUUCGUUGUAUAUUCCUAGUCUAUAGAGACCGACUCGAAAAAGCGAUUUUUCUUAAAAUUUAUUGGUUAACAAAGCAUCGAAAACCAUUGGCUUACGAUUACGUGCUACACCGCGUGUAGGGAAUAGUUGCCCUAGAUUGCAAUCGUCCCCUCCCACACGUGCGAGACGACGCAUUUCAAAAAUUAGGGUUUCCGAUCGCUGCUCACGCGCCUCCCUCCCGCUUCCCCCGUCGAUUCGAAAACCCUUUUAAAAUCGCAACCACUCCCCCACCCCGACUCUUCUCGUCCCCCUCUCCCCCAUUCCCCAGUAGAGCAGAGAGAGCCGUGAGCGAAGGGCCACCAAAGAGCGGUGUGUAGUACUAAAUACUUCGAACGGUGGAGGAGGGGUUCGGACGCGCAUCAAUCGAUCGAAGGUAUCGACCACUCGAAUCCCUGAUCUAGGGUUUCUCCCUUUCUUUGGAUUCUAUUGUGUACGGUUUUUUUUUUUUUUUUUUUUGGGCUUGCGGAUUGAGUUCUCGGUUGAUCUGUUAGGGUUUAUGCUUGUUUUGUGGCUCGCGUGUUAGGGUUUCACUUCGGUAUAUAUGAGUAUGAACUCCUUUGGGCUCAGAUUAUGGUUGUUGUGGGCGUUCCUUUUUGAUACGGGGAUUCGGGGUUUAGGGUUUUUGUAUGUACGAUAGGGUUCUGUUGGAUUGGUCCUUCACCAUAAUCAGAUUGCACUUUUGUGGAAGUUUUACUCGUGUAAUGCAAUUUUCGAGGUCUAAUGCCACGUUCGCCUUUUUUAUUACUAGCACAGGAUGAUUUAUCUCUGCUGUUUUGCUUAAUCCGUUUUCAAUUUCAUUUUAAAUAUUGGUAUUUUACUGGGAAAUAUAUUGGUUCAGUAAGUAGAUGUGCUACUUUUUUGCAUGAGUUAUUGGAAUUGCUUUUCUUUGUAUUGUUUUUUAUAUUAUUGAUUGCCUUUUCCUUUGUUCUUUUGAGUACGCCUCGUCUGCUUGGAAAAAUUUUGUUAUGGUUUCACUGUGAUGGUGGCUUAGGAAACAAUGUUUCCAUCAAGGCAUUAAUGGAUUUACUUGCGGAAAUGUUAAUUUAGUGUCUAGAAUGAUCUUAAAAUUCAGUUUUACUGUAUCAAUAAUUUUGGCAAAGGCUCUUCAUGAUGCUUGUUUUUCACUGUUAUAUAGGAUAGUGAAUACAAGCUUUGAGUUUGUCAAGUUUUAUUCUCAAAAUAUUUGUACUUUUUGUUUUUUUAUACCUUUACUGUAUGGCUACCAUGAGUAAUCCUAUUUCUUUCAUAUAAUUAUUAAAUUAAAUUAGAAUUUAAAUGACAUCUCUAUACAUUUUUACUUAAUUUUAUCUUUCAAUAUUUGUUCAUCUUAUGUAUCGACAUGAUUUAAAAUUUCCAAUCUAUUUAAUUAAUUUAAAUAGGUAAACCAAAAU
rnacentral:lncRNA from 1 species